CCAUCUGGUAUCUAUCCAGAGCAUACUAUAUGGUCAGCAGCAGGCUCGGGUCUGUGGGAUAAAAAUGCAAUAGACAGUAGUUUAUACAGCGCUCAGUCUGCCCCAAGCACUGGUCUAAGUGCCUUCCAUGCAGGAACUGAUCUGAUCCUAGUAGCAGCCAUGGGAGAUUCAAGACUCAAGAAGUUUAAUGAACCCCAAGCAGGAUAAAAUUAAAGAAAACCACACGUAGACCCAUCAUAAUCGAAUUGGUGAAAAUUAAGGUGAAGAAAAGCCUUUGAAAGCAGCUAGAGGAAAAACUACACUUUACAUACAAAGGAAGAAGAAUUCUAAUGCCAGGAGAUUUUUCAUUGGAACCCCGAAGGUCAGAAGACAGUGGAACAUCAUUUUUAAAGUGCUGAAAGAAAAGCACCAUCAACCCAGAAUUCUAUAGCCAGCAAAAAUAUCCUCCAGGUAUGAAGUCAAAAUGAAGCUAUUUUCACAUGAAGGAAAACUAAGACAGUUUGUCACAAGAAUACCUGUAUUGUAAGAAUUGUUAAAGGAAAUUCAUCAUGUUGAAGGAGAAUGAUAACAAAAGGCAGCUGGGUCUUGAGGAAUGAAGGAAGAAAACCAGAAAGGAACAGAAACAAAUAACUGGUCAUCAGCGACCAUGUUUUGCGGAUGCUUAGGCAGCCUAUGGAGAGGCCCAUGGGAGGAGGAAUUGAGGCCUGCCAGCAACCACAGGAGGGAGUUUAGAAGUGGAUCCUCCCCACUGUCCUAAGAAAGCCUUUAGAGGAAGCCACAGCUCGGGUCUUCAGCUUGACUCCAACCUCGUAAGAGGCUUUGAACCCCAGUCAUCCGGCAGAGACAUGCUCGGAUUCGUGAUGCACAGAAACUCUGAGAUAGCAAAUGUUUGCUGUUUUAGGCUACUGAGUUUUGGGGUUUCUUGUUACACGGAACGAUAGAUAACUAAUAAACCUGUAUAUCACCAAUCCUUGAUCUCGGGGAUUCCUUCAGACUCCCUCAUUCACCACUGUCUCCACUCACCAUUCUCUAGCACCUUGACUCUGGCUCCCUAACCCCCUAACCUCUCACUUUGACCCUUUCUGUCUUUGGCCUCUUGCCUGGCUUCUUGGGUUGAUGGUCAGGUCUUGGCCUUAUCAUGUAGCUUUGACCUUGGUUCUUCUUCAGACACAGCAUUGAGGAUCUGCCUUCUGGCACCAUGCUUUAUAAUCUUGUGUAAGAAACUAUAAACUCCUAAACUCUACUCUGGCCAGGCUCACCUCUCACCUGCUCCAGGUCUAUGCAGAAGCAGGAUCAGAAAAUCAGCUUGACUUAGUAGAACAGGAAAGCCUAACCAGACACUCUGGAAAGAUUUUCAGUGAGGGCUGAAACAACCUUCUUAUCAUGAGAAAAUCCAUACAUUGUAGCCCUUCGUCCCCAUUCUGCUAGCGUUCCUAUCAAUCCGGACUUUCCUGCAUUUGUUAGCUGAUGGAUGGCAAAUGACUGGUCCAUUGCUUUGUAAAAACAAGAUGUUGUUUUCAGAUAUUUAU